UACGUAGGUGACAAGCGUUGUCCGGAUUUACUGGGCGUAAAGAGCGCGCAGGCGGUCGAUCAAGUCGAGUGUGAAAGCCCCCGGCUCAACUGGGGAGGGUCAUUCGAUACUGAUCGACUCGAAGGCAGGAGAGGGUAGUGGAAUUCCCGGUGUAGUGGUGAAAUGCGCAGAUAUCAGGAGGAACACCGGUGGCGAAGGCGGAUCUCUGGGCCUUACCUGACGCUGAGGCGCGAAAGCUAGGGGAGCGAACAGG
rnacentral:rRNA from 1 species